rnacentral:lncRNA from 1 species
AAAUGACAUACGACAACACAUAAAAUAUAUUAGGUGUUUGCGUCUUCUCUAGGGACUUUCAAUUAAAAACUAAAUUUGUAAACUCUUAAAGGUAUUUAUUUAUCUCCUGGGAUUAAGCAAUCCACGCACUAUUUUACAUUUACAAUAAGUGUUGCUUAUGCAUUUUCCUCUAUAAGGAGGCCGGCAAUAUAUUUUAUUUUGAUAAUCUGAAUCAUCAAAACAUUCGAUUCUCUCUGCUGCAAUAAAAAAACACUAUAUGGUUAUUAAAAUGAAAAGAAAUAUAACGUAUGAAAUAAAACAGAACAUUUAAAAUGAAUGAACAAAAGUUACCUUUAAUUUUCGUUCCAAUAAAAAAUAGAAAGAAUAAUAUAAUCAUAACAUAAGGAAAAUUUAUUACUUCUACCAUAUUUCUCCUCGUUAUUUUUAAUAAAUUAUUUUGUAACUUUAUAGUUUAUGAAUAAGAGUGGAUCCUCGCCUUUAAUAAUUUUUACUUGUGGACACUUAGUUGUAAAAUAAAUCUUAAAAUUAAAUUAAUUAGUAUAUAACUUUUCGAUACAUCAUUUUGUUGUCUUUGUCUCUUCAGCAUAUCCAAAAAAGAUGUAAAAUAAAACUUGUCUAUCAUAAAAAUAUAUUCUUCUUAUAAAAAAUUUUUAAUCAUUUUAUAUUAUUUUACCUCGGAUGUGAAUGGGAGAUUACCUCAGUUAUAGAGAUGGGAUACCAAAGAGCGUCAUAAAAAACUAACAUCUUAUAGAUCGGUUUUGAAUAACCGAGGGGAAAGGUGAAAAAGUCAUUCAUUUGAUCCCCAGUGUAGGUCGGAUUUUUUUAAUAAUUGAGGGGUAUAACCAAUGUUUUUUAAAAUUCCAUUUUGACUGACCUUGAUCAUUUUCUAUAUAGAUCCUACAAAUUAGGUGACAGAAUCAUAUCAUUUGUAUUUUAUUUAGAAUAUAAAACAAAAUACCAAUUUUACAUUGUUUAUAAAAGCAAAUGUACAAUCCUUGCAAUACUUAUCGUGAUAUUUGAUAUACACAAAACCUAUUCCAAGAGAACCUAUACAUAUUUGCACCUAAAUUGACAAAACAUUUACACAAUGCUAGUGUAUAGUUAAAAAUCAAGAAAAACUAGUGUUGACUAGAUUCAUAAUGACAUAAGAAGACACUUGCACAACGUGAUCGGAUGUCAUCUAUAUCCUCUUGUGGAAAUGGUGUUUUAUUGCUAGACGCUUAUAAUUUGAACAAAAUUUAAAUUAUGAUAAGUUAACUACAACAAUAAUAAAUUAACAAUUAUACAUAAAUUACAUGUAUAUGGAUAAAGUUAAUAC